AUUGAACGCUGGCGGCAGGCUUAACACAUGCAAGUCGAGCGGGGUGAUGGUGCUUGCACUAUCACUUAGCGGCGGACGGGUGAGUAAUGCUUAGGAAUCUGCCUAUUAGUGGGGGACAACAUCUCGAAAGGGAUGCUAAUACCGCAUACGUCCUACGGGAGAAAGCAGGGGAUCACUUGUGACCUUGCGCUAAUAGAUGAGCCUAAGUCGGAUGAGCUAGUUGGUGGGGUAAAGGCGUACCAAGGCGACGAUCUGUAGCGGGUAUGAGAGGAUGAUCCGCCACGCUGGGACUGAGGCACGGCCCAGACGCCUACGGGAGGCAGAAGUGGGGAAUAUUGGAGAAUGGGGGGAACCCGGAUCCAGCCAUGCCGCGUGUGUGAAGAAGGCCUUAUGGUUGUAAAGCACUUUAAGCGAGGAGGAGGCUAUUUUGGUUAAUACCCAAGCUGAGUGGACGUUACUCGAAGAAUAAGCACCGGCUAACUCUGUGCCAGCAGCCGCCGUAAGAC
rnacentral:rRNA from 1 species